rnacentral:rRNA from 1 species
CCCUUAGACACUCUAGGCGGCACGCGCGCUACAAUGGGUGGAAGACCGUGUUACUGCCUUCGAAAGAAGGGGUGAAUCACGAAUUCUUACCCGUGAAUGGGAUAGUUUGUUGCAAUUUUCGGACUUGAACUAGGAAUCCCUUGUAAGCAUGCUCAAGAAUAGCGUGUUGAAUACGUCCCUGCCGUUUGUACACACCGCCCGUCGUUUCUUCCGACUGAUACUCAUUGUGAGUUGCAAGGACCCUUUAUUGGGAAAUUGCUGCGAAUGCUUCGUAUUGGAGGAAGAAAAAGUCGUAACA